GGUUGACCUCGGAUCAGGUAGGAGUUACCCGCUGAACUUAAGCAUAUC
rnacentral:rRNA from 1 species